AACGAACGCUGGCGGCAUGCCUAACACAUGCAAGUCGAACGAGACCUUCGGGUCUAGUGGCGCACGGGUGCGUAACGCGUGGGAACCUGCCCUUAGGUUCGGAAUAACUCCCCGAAAGGGGUGCUAAUACCGGAUAAUGUCUUCGGACCAAAGAUUUAUCGCCUUUGGAUGGGCCCGCGUUGGAUUAGCUAGUUGGUAGGGUAAAAGCCUACCAAGGCGACGAUCCAUAGCUGGUCUGAGAGGAUGAUCAGCCACACUGGGACUGAGACACGGCCCAGACUCGAACAGGAGGCAACAGUGGGGAGGGUUGCAUAAUGAGCGGAGCCCAAACGCAGCCACGCCGCGGGCGGGAAGAGGGCCUGCCGGUUGGGUACCACUGUCCUCUUACCCGAAGCGUUAGUGACGGUAAUGGGAAAAGAAGCACCGGCUAACUACGUG
rnacentral:rRNA from 1 species